AUUUCCCCAAAGCAAAAGUUGAAACAAAGGUUUCUUGGUCCACUGCAGGUCCUAACUGACGAUUUAGGUCCAACAUGAUGAUGAAUAUGUUUCAAGAUCUUCUAAACCCUGCACCUUUCCAAUUCAUCAUAAUUUUUUCAACAUAUAAUUUAUCUUACAGAGACAAAAAUUUAAACAUUCAGAUUGAUUUGGUGGAUGUACAAGGUUCGAAGGUUGCUCUGGAGCAUCAAUCUAGACGGGGCAUCCUACAACUGAAAAAACCCAGUGCUCUCUAUUUUGAUCUGUUGAAGAAGCUUCUGUUGUCUUAGCUGCUAGCAUUGAUUGUGGUUUCUUGCUUCCGCCUUCUUGUGGUUGCAGAUUGUUUAGCCCAAGCCAUGCUGGUAGCCAUCAAAAUCUGUCGUAUUUUUGGCUUGUGAUCCUCUCCUGACUUAUAUUUGGGUAUUGUGGAUGGCUUGAUAUGCAAAAAGAGGUUAGGGAUUAACGCUUUAUAGCAAAACAAUGGAGAGUUGAAGCUUCUGAACUGGAAGCUUGAACAAACAAAUUGCCAUGGACACUCUACUCCUCAUCAUGUCUUUGAUUAGUGUCAUUGCCACUGAAUAUGAUUCCGAUUUGUUGGUAUAUAAUUGAUUUUCAGAAGUGAUGUUCUUCUGGUGGUUCUCCAGUG
rnacentral:lncRNA from 1 species